rnacentral:rRNA from 1 species
GACGAACGCUGGCGGCGUGCCUAAUACAUGCAAGUCGAGCGCAGGAAGCCGUCUGAACCCUUCGGGGGGACGACGGUGGAAUGAGCGGCGGACGGGUGAGUAACACGUAAAGAACCUGCCCAUAGGUCUGGGAUAACCACGAGAAAUCGGGGCUAAUACCGGAUGUGUCAUCGGACCGCAUGGUCCGCUGAUGAAAGGCGCUCCGGCGUCGCCCAUGGAUGGCUUUGCGGUGCAUUAGCUAGUUGGUGGGGUAGCGGCCCACCAAGGCGACGAUGCAUAGCCGACCUGAGAGGGUGAUCGGCCACACUGGGACUGAGACACGGCCCAGACUCCUACGGGAGGCAGCAGUAGGGAAUCUUCCACAAUGGACGAAAGUCUGAUGGAGCAACGCCGCGUGAACGAUGAAGGCUUUCGGGUCGUAAAGUUCUGUUGUAAGGGAAGAACAAGUGCCGCAGGCAAUGGCGGCACCUUGACGGUACCUUGCGAGAAAGCCACGGCUAACUACGUGCCAGCAGCCGCCGUAA